GCGACUGUCAUCCCUCAACGUUUUGGGACGGAAAGAAAGGAAUUGGGGUUGAGAACCUGUGCUGUGCUUUGCCUGGUGCUUGUACACAUCUAGUCCUCAAAGUGGCCUGCUGAAAGGUACCCUCUUUUCCAGGUGGCAGCGUUGUCUGUGAACUGCGGCCGGGGCCCAGUUCCGAGCACCCCACAGAGAACUUCAGAGCGGGAGAACCUCAAGCCUCCGGAAAGAGGAAAAGGAAUUUUCCAGUUUCAGCGGGGUCAGGGAUCCCCGUCCUGGGCACGCCGUUCGGAAGCAGGUAUCAGAUGCGCCCUGAGGACGGUUCCCUGAUGUCGCUGGUGGGAACCAAACAUCACUGUCUAACUUCAGUUUAAGACCAUCGCAUACAAAUCCUGUACAUUGGCGUAUUCAAGGGGGUGGGGAGAACAACUUGGGAAAAUGUUUACUCUCAUACGUGGAAAUAUCCAUUUUAACAGGAGGAGCAAAGGUGCUGGCUUUUUUCAGCUACAAAAAUAGAAAAAAAUAGAAGUGUACUGUUUGUGAUGAAAAAUUCUAGCGCUCCUUGGAAAAGAAACAAUUGUUUUAAAA